CCCUCCAGGUUCCGAGAUCACUGCACCCCAAAAGACAGCUGCUCAGCUCAAGAAAGAAGCAAAGAAACGGGAGAAACUAGAGAAAUUCCAACAGAAGCAGAAGACGCAGCAGCAGCAGCCGGCACACGGGGAGAAGAAACCAAAACCAGAGAAGAAGGAGAAGCGAGACCCCGGGGUCAUUACCUAUGACCUCCCUACCCCACCUGGGGAGAAGAAAGACGUAAGUGGCACCAUGCCCGACUCCUACAGCCCUCAGUAUGUGGAGGCUGCCUGGUACCCUUGGUGGGAGCGGCAGGGCUUCUUCAAGCCAGAGUACGGGCGUCCUAGCGUGUCAGCACCAAAUCCCCGAGGUGUCUUCAUGAUGUGCAUCCCACCCCCCAACGUGACAGGUUCCCUGCACCUGGGCCACGCGCUCACCAACG
rnacentral:lncRNA from 1 species